rnacentral:lncRNA from 1 species
AACUGCCUUUUUCGAUUCCUAGGACUAGAAUUCCUAGACCAAAGAAUAAGUACUUUUAAAAGUACAUACUGAUGGGGAUUAUCAGACUAGUUCUGUAUACAUUGUAUUUAAAGCAAAAGCAUUAUGACAUGUUAGGCUGUUGUGGGCCAGCUGGGUAAGGUUCCUGCUUCUGACCAUUGUGCACAGGAGGCUGCCUCCUCUCUGCUCGCUCCGCUUCCUGGCAGACAGUACAAUCAGCCCCUUGUGCCUCCCCAGUGAAAUUUAAGUAAUGGGUCAGCUUUG